UGUUUUCAAGAAGUUAUCAAAUAUUCGAGAAGAGGAUAAUACGACAUCCUCACGCGCAAAUUCUUUUCCAACAAACAAUCAAUAAUUGAGAGUGGGAAUAAUGUGACUUUUCCAAGAGUAUAUAGUUGGAAACAUUUUCUAUGGUUUUCAAAGUGCAUGAUUUGGUGUUAUAAAUCUAUUUGGGAAUUUUUUGAACCAUAGUAAUUUUCUUAAGUUUUUGGUUUGGCAUUUAUUUGAGCCUUAUUCGAAUUCCAAAAGUAUUUAUGUGCAUUAUUCGGGUGGAAACUAUUUUGGCAAAACCCAUAUUGGAUAUUUUGAUUUACUGACAUCAUGUUGAAUUUUUCGGAGUUCUUAUGGUAUUUUCAAAUCCGACAUUUGAAUUCUCGUGACCUUGCAAUUAGAAAAUAUUAGAAAUAUUCCCAAUCCAACUUUGGGCCGAAGCCCACUUCCCAGGCCGCAGCCCAUUCCCCCCCUUUCCUGUUUUUUUUCUUUUAUUUUUCUCCCUGGGCCUUUUUCCCUACUGGCCCAACACCAGGGCGAACCACCCAGCCACCUGUCCUUUUCUUUUCUUUUUUUUUCCUUUUCUCCUUCUUUGGCCGACCUCCCUCUGGCCCAUCCCCACCGAGCGCUCCAGCCCAACCUCCCACACGAGACUUCGUCUUCCUCGUUGCGUCCAGGUACAGAAGCCUCCUAGGUAGCGCCAGCAUCGGCGAGAUCUCCGCCACCACCCUCACCUCCCUGCCCCGUUCUCUGUUCAAAUACACUGAACCGCACCCCACGAACCCCCUCUCCCUAUUCCCCUCCUUAAAUUCCUCAAUCACGGCCUUUACCGCCUCUAGCCAUUAGUGGCCGACGCCAUUACUGCUGGCCGGUGGCAUCCUCGCCCGAUCUCCCUCCUCGGCAUAUAAAAGACGAUUCCGAGCGCGUCACUUCGAACCUUUGGCCAUCCUUCCCCGUUUUCCUAUGGAGAGUUUUUCCUAUGGAGCUUUGUAGAUCGCAUGCCGUGGCCGUCUUCCUCUGCCGUUCGUCGCAUUCAUUCUCGAAGGUGAGGUCAUUCCAAAGUGUUGUUCGUCGAUUCCUUUCAUCGGUGGACUCCCGUUACCUUCUUCUACCUGUGUGACAAGGUUGUUCGAGCCAUCUCCGACAUUGUCCGCGUCUUCGCCGACCGCAAGCCAACACCGCGCCCCGGAGCUCCGCCCAUCGCUGUCCAGGGAUGCUCCGACCUGGCAAGCCGCGUCAAGACGUCCACCUCGAUGUUAUGCACGUCCCUAGCCACAUCUUCGGCCCCGAAGCCCUCCGGAACGUCGACUCCAACGACAACCACCGCCGCCGCCGCCGUCUCCACGUUGCGCCACCGCCUUUGAACACCACGGCGACCACACUCGGCUUCCUCUCAUCGCCCUCAACGUCUUCCAUGACCUCAUUGACCCUACCGACGACUCCUUUGCCAUUUUCUGAACUCUGGCGAACUCCGUUUCGGUGAGCAAACUUUCAGCCACAGCAGUUCAGAUUAGCCAUGUUUAGAAGUCCAUAUAUUUUUAUAUGUACAACUUUUUAGGCCGGUUCUUUCGUCUAUGGUUAGAUCACGUCCUCCUCUAUAUAUCAGACCAGUUUCUAUACCCCGUCUCGAUGAUCUUAUGUAGUACAUCUUCGUUGGAAAUUGCUAUUAACAGCAUGUUGCUUCUCGAUUAGCCACCUUUCUAAAUUCAUAUAGGUUGUUCCAUUGUUCCGUUUGGUUCCAAACCUUCUGUACAUCAUCGAUUAGAUCCUGUUCUCCCCAAUAGUGUACUUGUUUCACAAGUUAGGAUUCAUCCACAGAGGUGCAUCGUCAAUCAAAAGUCGUAUCUGUUAACACUGUCACAUUGAUGAGCUAUCUUCCAAAGCCUAUAUGUGUUGAUCCGU
rnacentral:lncRNA from 1 species